UACGUAGGGGGCAAGCGUUGUCCGGAAUCAUUGGGCGUAAAGCGCGUGUAGGCGGCUUGGUAAGUCUGCUCUGAAAACCCGAGGCUUAACCUCGGGACGUCGAUGGAAACCAUCUGGCUAGAGUCCGGAAGAGGAGAGUGGAAUUCCUGGUGUAGCGGUGAAAUGCGCAGAUAUCAGGAAGAACACCCGUGGCGAAGGCGGCUCUCUGGGACGGUACUGACGCUGAGACGCGAAAGCGUGGGGAGCGAACAGG
rnacentral:rRNA from 1 species